GUGUUUGACUUGGCAGCACAUAUACUAAAACUAGAACAAUACACAGAAGAUUAGCACUGUCUCUCCGCAAGGGUGACAUGCAAAUUCAUGAAGCAGUUCGUAUUUUU
ensembl:snRNA U6 U6 spliceosomal RNA